GUGCAGAGCAGUCACUCCGGAGUCAGAACGUUUUUAUGACCUUACAGUCUGCUCUGGUCCUCUCUGUUGCAAAGCAUGAGAUCCGGGACCUGGCCCUACAGCGGCAGCCCCCCGACUCACCCUGACGGCCACCGCCAGCCCAGUUCCAGACCACAGUUCUUGUGCUGUCUGGCUUGUGCCGCGCGGACAGGAUGAGGAAGACAGCGCUGGAGUCCAGAGGCUGGGAGGGGCAGAGCUGACCCUAACCCUGCGCACCACCUUCAGAAUGCUCCGCACGGAGCCCCAGGCACUGGCAUCGCCUCGGAAUUUUUAUCUGCCCCAGCAGGUGCAUCUGUCAUCAGCGCCUCAGUGCCGCUGCUGCAGCAGAAACCCCAAGUCAGAGCGGCUUAGGUCAAAGACAAAGUGGCUGUGUCUGUCCUGGUUUUGCAUGCCUGUCCAGCAGAGGAGACCCAGGGCUGCCAGGCAUGUCCUUGGAUGCACAACCUUCCACGAGUCUGCAGAGGCGGGCAGAAAGCUCUGGACUCUGGACUCUGGACUCUGGCUCUUUGGGGUGUGGGACUCAGUAAAGCCCAAAGCCCGGAGCUCCGGCUCCUGCUGACUUCUCAUCCCAGUGUCCAUGCCCACGUGGGGUGUGACCGGCCGGGAUUCUCUGAUGCCCUGUGAGCCUGGCGUUUCCCCG
rnacentral:lncRNA from 1 species